rnacentral:rRNA from 1 species
CCAUGCAGUCGACGGUGAAGAGGAGCUUGCUCCUUGGAUCAGUGGCGAACGGGUGAGUAACACGUGAGCAAUCUGCCCUUGACUCUGGGAUAACUGCGGGAAACUGUAGCUAAUACCGGAUAUUACCUUGGAAGGCAUCUUCUGGGGUGGAAAGAAUUUUGGUCAAGGAUGAGCUCGCGGCCUAUCAGCUAGUUGGUGAGGUAAUGGCUCACCAAGGCGACGACGGGUAGCCGGCCUGAGAGGGUGACCGGCCACACUGGGACUGAGACACGGCCCAGACUCCUACGGGAGGCAGCAGUGGGGAAUAUUGCACAAUGGGCGCAAGCCUGAUGCAGCAACGCCGCGUGAGGGACGACGGCCUUCGGGUUGUAAACCUCUUUUAGUAGGGAAGAAGCGACUGGGUUUUCCUGGGAGUGACGGUACCUGCAGAAAAAGCACCGGCUAACUACGUGCCAGCAGCCGCGGUAAUACGUAGGGUGCAAGCGUUGUCCGGAAUUAUUGGGCGUAAAGAGCUCGUAGGCGGUUUGUCGCGUCUGCUGUGAAAACCCGAGGCUCAACCUCGGGCCUGCAGUGGGUACGGGCAGACUAGAGUGCGGUAGGGGAGAUUGGAAUUCCUGGUGUAGCGGUGGAAUGCGCAGAUAUCAGGAGGAACACCAAUGGCGAAGGCAGAUCUCUGGGCCGUAACUGACGCUGAGGAGCGAAAGCAUGGGGAG